CUAAAUUCUCUCCCGCGAAAAUGUUAUACCUUCUCAUACCUAGAAAUUAGAUUAAAGAAAAAAAUUCAUACGGCCAACAUCACUUUGCUCUCUAAAUUAAAUUUUCGGCCACCAUCACUUUGCUUUCUAAAUCUCCAUCGGCAACCAAAUUUAUGGCCACCAUCAAAAUUCUUGGUAGUUCUCUGCUAAUAUCUGCAUAGUGCAUAUGUUGGUUCCAAAAGCUGUGGAACAAGGAGCGGAGCGAGCUUAUUAGGUGCGGGUUCGACCAAAUCCAGUCACUCUUGCUUAGACAGCGUAUUUGUAUAAGUAGAAGGCUGUGGAAAUCUGCUGGUGUGUUUUCAACUGAGGAACUGGAGAACGACAUAGAUUUGUUGUGUUUACGCUUCAAGAGGUAAUCCUAAAAUCUCCAUACGUGCUAGUUGUUUAGAUUACACGUGAAUAAGAUUCUGUUAUUGCUUCUGCUGUGGUGUAUAAUCCUACAAUUGGUAUCAUAGCCUACUCACGUCUAAUUAAAUAAUUAGGAUAAACCAUAAGGAUUAAUAUCAUGUUCUAUAUGCAAGUUUUGAAUUACAUGCAAAGUUUAUUUUUCUGAAAACCUGCACUGUUUUUUGGUGUGAUUAUCUGUUAUGGAUUGUGUUGAUUAUUGUGAAAACUUGAUGUAUCCUUUUAAUAUUGAUGAUGUUGAGUUAGAAUAAUCUGAAAGUUGAAUUUUAUCAUGUAAAACGGAAAAACAAGUUUUGCCGAAUUAGGGUAGAAAAUCGGAGGUCAAAAAAGUAACGGACUCCGAUUGACCUGAAACUUGGCAGGUCCAUGCGAAACGGCCCAGUGAGCAAUACUCAUGGAUCUUGACUGAAGUUGUUUUUUUGGGCUUUCGGGGUCGUUUAGAUGGUGUUUUUGCUGUUUUUCUAAACUUCUGAAAUUUUUUUUAGUUGUUUUUAAUUCCAGUA